CAGAAGGUGCCAUCUAAAUAGGUCACUGAGGAGAACGUCAGGACAGCUGUUUACAAAGGUGUGGACAGGGUACGGGAAACCUACUGGCUAGUAUCAUGGAAACCAUGACCCGCUGGAAGCCUGAAGAGGCAAGAAGAAGGGAUCCCCGGAGCCCCGGGAAGGGCCUUGACGGCAGCUUUGCCUGAUGUCGCUGUUGAACUGCCCUGACGGACAGUUGGAGAGUUACGGCUUCCAUGGUGAUUCCAAGGUCACCUCAGCGUGCCAUCACCACCUCCUUAGGAACACAUGCCAUCAUGACGGUGAACACAUCCGAAUACUGCGCAGGGGGGCCCAGGUGGGCAAGAGGAGGCCUCAGGGACUCUCUCCAUGGCUGCAUCCCUGACUUGGUUGUGCAAGUCACUCUGACCUCUGCAGAGAACAAAUGUCCCUGAGAUACACUGUCAUUUGGAAAUGUUCUAGAAAUAUUGAGUUUGGAACUGUAGGAUUUGCUCCGGCCAUGUGCAGUCCUGUGUUGGCGCCUCUCUCCUCGGUGAUAGGAACCUCCGCCUCAACUCCUGUUUCCAGCAGAUGGAAGGACCACUGUUGUCUUGGCUGAAAGGCUUCUACAUCAGAGGGGCACCGCGGGAAGGGAAUAAAACAAA